ACUCCUACGGGAGGCAGCAGUGGGGAAUCUUAGACAAUGGGCGCAAGCCUGAUCUAGCCAUGCCGCGUGUGUGAUGAAGGCCUUAGGGUCGUAAAGCACUUUCGCUAGGGAUGAUAAUGACAGUACCUAGNAAAGAAACCCCGGCUAACUCC
rnacentral:rRNA from 1 species